CCCUUAGAUGUUCUGGGCAGCACGCGCGCUACAAUGGUCUUCGCAAACGGGUGCAUUCUCGAAGGAGAAUGCCAAUCUUGGAAUCUAUGCCUUGGUCGGGACAGUUGCUUGCAAUUUUUCGACUCGAACCAGGAAUUCCUUGUAAUCGUGAUUCAUCACAUCACGAUGAAUACGUCCCUGCCCUUUGUACACACCGCCCGUCGCUCCUACCGAUCGAAGAGUUAGGUGAAUUGUUUUGAUCGAUAAGAUUUGACUAUGGUCAGCUCUCGUUGUGAAAUUCUGUGAAUCUGACUGUUUAGAGGAAGGAAAAGUCGUAACA
rnacentral:rRNA from 1 species